rnacentral:rRNA from 1 species
UACGAAGGGGGCUAGCGUUGCUCGGAAUCACUGGGCGUAAAGGGUGCGUAGGCGGGUUUUUAAGUCAGAGGUGAAAUCCUGGAGCUCAACUCCAGAACUGCCUUUGAUACUGAAAGUCUUGAGUAUGGGAGAGGUGAGUGGAACUGCGAGUGUAGAGGUGAAAUUCGUAGAUAUUCGCAAGAACACCAGUGGCGAAGGCGGCUCACUGGCCCAUUACUGACGCUGAGGCACGAAAGCGUGGGGGAGCAAACAGGGAUUAAGAUGAUCCCUGG